UGUCUCCUUAAAGAUGUUAUCAAUGACAAUGCAUGCCUGAAACUUCAUUAGCAAUUUUAAUUUUGCCCCAGUCCUGUGGUCCUGUGAUCUCGCCCUGCCUCCAUUUGCCUUGUGAUAGUCUAUUACCUUGUGAAGCAUGUGAUCUCUGUGACCCACACCCUAUUCAUACACUCCCUCCCUUUUUGAAAAUCACUAAUAAAAACUUGCUAGUUUUGCGGCUCAGGGGGCAUCACAGAACCUGCUGACAUGUGAUGUCUCCCCCUGACUCCCAGCUUUAAAAUUUCUCUCUUUUGUACUCUGUCCCUUUAUUUCUCAGACCAGUUGACACUUAGGGAAUAUAGAAAAGAACCUACGUGAAAUAUUGGGGGUGAAUUUCACCCAAUAUCUGGCUGAAUUUUGCCCGAUAUCUGGCUGAAUUUCCCCUGAUAUCCUCGCAGAUGGAACAAUGAUGAGAGUACACUUGAACAAAUGAAAAGCAGACAUAUUUAUCCCUUAUGCAUUUGGGUCAUCCUUCUGCUGUGUCCUGCAUCCAUUGGCUGGACCUGGACCUCACAAUCUUAAACUGAUACCUGAUUUGCUAACAACCUGAAACUUUCCUAAAUAGGUAAGUGCAAGGGAGAACAAAAAAGGAGAGGAAAUUGCUUAUGAAAGGUUUAAAGAAGCAAUAACAUUUCCAAAUAAGGAAGGGGCAUGAGCUAUGAACUAAGACUUGCUGGGGCCUGUCCAGACAUGCCUGAGUAAGGCAAAGCAACUAAGUGGGCUAAAGUGUAAGAACUAAUAGUUGAUAGGGGGCUUUAGAGCAAGAAGCUAUUAUCUCUAGUGUCUAUUAUUUUAUUUUUAAACUAAGACGAGCUCUGAAGAGGAACUUUUCUACUUUCCACACUCUCUUAUUCUACAAUUGCCCCUCAGUGACUCCAUUCUGUGGAACCUGGACGCUCAGCCUUGAUCUUCCCAGGGCCCUCUUGCCCCUGUGAAAGGAAAAUAAAUCUCAAGACCCUAAACUAAAUAAGCCAAACGGAAAAGUCAGUCUGGGAACUGGGUCACACAAACCUGCCUCCCAUUUCGUGUCUACAUAAGAUAGCUACAAAGAUUUAAAAAAAAAAAAAAGCAUCGCACCUCUCUCACAAUUUGCCCACAAAUUGUGGGCUCCAAGAUUUUUACCCUAAAACAGUUCUGUUUCAUUUCACCCUGACAAUGUAAAUUGAUAGCUUAUAUUCACAGGUAUGGAACAAAGAACAGAACUCAAAGUCAUCCCUCUGCCUGAGAUAUAUGCAUAUCUGAUUGCUUCCUGUGCCCUAUGUUUAUUUUAUCUUAUGCAAAAAUGCAGAUUCACCAAGCUAGAUAAAUGUGUGACUAUUUCUCUACCCACCCCCCCAACGUAAAUUGUGUAUUCAUUGAAUGGCUGAUCAAAGACUCAAAAGGAUGCAACCGCUUGCCUCUUAUUUACCCACACCCUUUUCACAAUUCCUUCCAGGACACAUAUACUUUUUCCCCAAAAAUAUAUAAGCCCUGAGUCUAGGGGGUAACAGUGCAGAGAUCUACCCGUCUUGUGGCUGCCCAAGACCAUGCUUCUGUGAGUUCCCCAAAAAAUCACCUCCAAGUGACAAACUGGAUUUGUCUGCCUCAUUCUUUGGUUUCUCAGUUCCUUCUGUGUUUGGGAGUCACUUUGCAUAUAUGGCCUCUUCAGAAAACAUAGUCUCAAAACCUCACACCAAAGACCAAUGACUAGCAGAAAUUCUUGAGCUUGCAGGAUGGCACAUAAGAAAAUAAACAACUUGCUGAAACCCUGAAACUCCCCCAUGUUAUGAUAUCAAGAAAAAAAAUUGAGGGAGAAAAAAACAGGGAGACACUGUCCCUACAAAAAGUAAAAAUAAGUCUAGCGUGGUCGGGCAUGCUGUGGUCCCAGCUGUUAGGGAGGCUGAGGUGGGUGGGUCGCUUGAGCCCAGGAGUUCCAGGCCACUGUGCCCCAGCCUGGGCAACAUGGAGGGAGGCUGUCUCUUAAAAAAGAAAAAACUGCCUGAAACCAAUUGGAACCAAUAUGGCCAGCCGGAAUUUCCACAGAAUGAGCUUGUUGACUUCAUGGCCUGAAUUUCGAUGCAUGUUUCAUACUAACUCCCCCUCAGUUUGCACAUGGGACCCAUGAGGUGACGUGAAGAGAUAACUGCACAUACCUGGGAACUUCUCAGACCUCCUCGUUUUCUUUUUCUUUAGAGACAGUCUCACUCCGUUGCCC
rnacentral:lncRNA from 1 species